GUAUAAGAGACAGCAGCCGCCGCGGGAAAACAGAGGGUGCGAGCGUUAAUCGGAUUUACUGGGCGUAAAGCGUGCGUAGGCGGCUUCUUAAGUCGGAUGUGAAAUCCCUGAGCUUAACUUAGGAAUUGCAUUCGAUACUGGGAAGCUAGAGUAUGGGAGAGGAUGGUAGAAUUCCAGGUGUAGCGGUGAAAUGCGUAGAGAUCUGGAGGAAUACCGAUGGCGAAGGCAGCCAUCUGGCCUAAUACUGACGCUGAGGUACGAAAGCAUGGGGAGCAAACAGGAUUAGAUACCCCUGUAGUCCCUGUCUCUUAUAC
rnacentral:rRNA from 1 species